CCUACGGGGCGCAGCAGUGAGGAAUAUUGGUCAAUGGCCGGAAGUCUGAACCAGCCAAGCCGCGUGAAGGACGAAGGUGCCAAGCAUUGUAAACUUCUUUUGUCAAGGGACAAAAUCAGGCUCGAGAGCCUGACCGAGGGUACUUGAAGAACAAGCAUCGGCUAACUCCGUGCCAGCAGCCGCGGUAAUACGGAGGAUGCGAGCGUUAUCCGGUUUUAUUGGGUUUAAAGGGUGCGUAGGCGGGCUGUUAAGUCAGCGGUAAAAGCCCGGGGCUCAACCCCGGCGAGCCGUUGAAACUGGCUGUCUUGAGAUGUCGAGAGGUAGGCGGAAUGCGCAGUGUAGCGGUGAAAUGCUUAGAUAUUGCGCAGAACUCCGAUUGCGAAGGCAGCAUACCGGAGGCGAUCUGACGCUGAGGCACGAAAGCGUGGGUAUCGAACAGGAUUAGAUACCCUGGUAGUC
rnacentral:rRNA from 1 species